AACGAACGCUGGCGGCAUGCCUAACACAUGCAAGUCGAACGAGACCUUCGGGUCUAGUGGCGCACGGGUGCGUAACGCGUGGGAACCUUCCCUUAGGUUCGGAAUAACUCCCCGAAAGGGGUGCUAAUACCGGAUAAUGUCUUCGGACCAAAGAUUUAUCGCCUUUGGAUGGGCCCGCGUUGGAUUAGCUAGUUGGUAGGGUAAAAGCCUACCAAGGCGACGAUCCAUAGCUGGUCUGAGAGGAUGAUCAGCCACACUGGGACUGAGACACGGCCCAGACUACUACGGGAGGCAGCAGUGGGGAAUAUUGGACAAUGGGCGAAAGCCUGAUCCAGCAAUGCCGCGUGAGUGAUGAAGGCCUUAGGGUUGUAAAGCUCUUUUACCCGGGAUGAUAAUGACAGUACCGGGAGAAUAAGCUCCGGCUAACUCCGUG
rnacentral:rRNA from 1 species